UGAACGUUAAACGGCUGAAUUUGAAUUUGAAUUUGAAAGAAUGUCUCGUGCUCGUGAUUAAGCAGAAGAUAAGAGGAGAGGGAGGGGAAAGUGGCUCUUGUGUCGAAAUAUCACAGUGAGCAACCGCGCGCCAUGACUCACUGACUUCAAAUGUCACUUGGAGUUACCGGUGUGCUCCAUUCAUUGAAAGGUACGUCGAAACCAGCUUCUUCCUCGUCUUGUGUCAUCCACCGAGGCGAUGUAGCAGGGAGCUGUGAUCGGAGAGUUCACAUCUCUUCAAGUACGUUAUGUUCUCUGCACAGCGAGGUACAAUACAUGACGUGGAGAGGAAAAGAAGAAAAGUGUUGCGUGUCAGCAGACUGUGUCUUGAUGAGACGAUGCGGAUAUCAGAGAAACUCCAGGGAAUUUCAAGCACCUCUGAAGAGAAAGGAAGAGAACAGGAGAUUUGUGGGACAGAAAAAAAUGCAGCGUUGACAGAUUACAUAAAGUGAACCUGUGGCAGCCCAGACACCGCAGACACGCUGAUGGGUGUGUCCCAGACUAGGUGUUCAUUGAUCAGUCUGGAAGAGCCCUCCUGCGUUGGCACCCCUACUGUGCUGCUGAACUGAUCUGAUGAUGAUGAUGCCUGUCAUUGUUUCAGUCGGGCUGAUUGGCUGAUUACAGCCUGUGACAGCCACAGAUGCUGGAUUUUGUUUUCUUCAGAGCAUUUUGAUUAAGUCAACUCUUUAAUCUUAAUGCAGCCAUAGAUGUAGUUUGGGUACCACCAUGACACAAAAGUCAUGAACUUGGAGUGUUUCUGAAUGUGUAUGACUUUUGUAAUUAAGUGUCAUGUGGUAAAUUAUGCCAUUUCUAAUGGUUAAUUGACUGAAUAACACUUACACACUGUACUGGAAACACAGGGAAUAGGACUGUUUCUUGGCUGGGCAAACUAACUUUGCAGAGUUGGUUGCCUGACUACUUAAAUAUUACAACCCACUCUAAGAAGUCACUGGUUGAUUAUUCUGGCACAUAACCCAUAAAACCUCAAUUUCUUGCUUUUACCCUUCAGCUUUUAUGCAGAUGAAAUAGAUGAGAUAUAAUUUAAUUGGUGACCUUUAAAAGUGCUGGUAGCAGUGGUGUUGUUAUGCCUGGGCAUCCGAUGCUACAGUCUCAUAGCUAUGGCUCUCAAGAGAAGAAAAAUCUACAAAUCUGUCAUUCAAUUAUGCAUUAAAGUCUUUGUUGUCAGAAAAAGUACAUUU